rnacentral:lncRNA from 1 species
UCUAGAUUGGGGCCAACAGGGAGUUUUUAGGGGGGGGGGUUGCAUCAUUUCUAUAUUUCUAUGUUCUGUCAUUCUUUUGGUCUUUAUUAUCUAUUUAGUAAGAAAUAUGCUUAUUCUUUAAAUUAUGGGUCCCUUUUGAAUUUGCUACUGCACUACACAAAUGAAACCAUGUAUCAAUUUUGAUUUAUAUUGGAUUGUACCCAAAC